rnacentral:rRNA from 1 species
CCUACGGGUUGCAGCAGUGAGGAAUAUUGGUCAAUGGGCUGGAGCCUGAACCAGCCAAGUCGCGUGAGGGAAGAAUGCACUGAGUAUUGUAAACCUCUUUUGUCAGGGGACAAAGGCGGCCACGGGUGGCCGUAAGAGGGUACCUGGAGAAAAAGCAUCGGCUAACUCCGGGCCAGCAGCCGCGGUAAUACGGAAGGUUCGGGCGUUAUCCGGAUUUUUUGGGUUUAAAGGGAGCGUAGGCCGCAUGUCAAGCGUGCUGUGAAAUGUCCGGGGUCAACCCGGGCCUUGCAGCUGGAACUGGCGUGCUUGAGUGCGCGGGAAGCAGGCGGAAUUCGUGGUGUAGCGGUGAAAUGCAUAGAUAUGACGAAGAACCCCGAUUGCGAAGGCAGCUUGCUGCAGCGGAACUGACGCUGAUGCUCGAAAGCGCGGGUAUCGAACAGGAUUAGAUACCCCUGUAGUC